AAAAUAGACUACAGUGUUGCACAUCUCACUGAUUAAACAACGUGAUGCCCUGUAACCUGAGAGCAGUCGUAUCAGACAGAGAACACGUUUUCUUCAAGACGGCUGGAAUAUGGUAGAUAUUCUAACUGGAGCCGUGGCGCUGCUAUCUGUGGCCCUGUCGAUCUCUUUAUGCCUCAAUGUGAUCUUUUGCAUCAAGCGAAGAACUAUUUUGUGCAGAGAAAAAAAUGGAUCCUGCUGCCCCCACACUUCUGAAGAAGAAACCCUGUCACACAAUGAAGGGCAUUAUUUUCAUGACCUUAAUCAUCAAGAGCAGAGGGAAAAUCCCCACAAUCAUCAUGAGCAACAGGAAAAUCCAAUCUAUGGCAACAUCAGCACAGAGAGAAGAAGUUCUGCAGAGGGUUGCUAUGAGAUGAUGACCAUGCAACGCACAAGAGAAAGUAAGAAGCCUUUCCAGAAUGACCUGAAUUACGCCUCACUGGACCUGAAGACUGCAAAGAAACGAAAGAAGAAGCAUCGCCAUCAGCAUAGCCAGUCACAGGGACGAAAUCAUUUCCCCGAACAGCUGUCAGUCCACCACACACCUCCUCCGAAUACAUUCUUGGAGGUGGAUGCAGACAUGGAUGCUCAUCUUCCGUCCAGAGACACCAGCACCAUGGUUUCACACAGCAGCAUCUACCUCAACAGUCAACAAAUAGCUCAACAGACAGAGGAAAUGGAAAGAGAAAAGAAUCUGACGCUGGAGAGGAAUGUUGGUUGGAAUAGUAUGCGAAGGCGCGAGGAUGGAGGAAAUCAAGAGAGUGAAGAAAUGAAAGAUGAACAAGAGUGUAACAAUGGGAGUUUAUGUGAACAGCUUUCAGAAGUAGAAACCUUUCAGAGCUGCACAGAUCCUUUCAUUGGUAGCUUUAGCCAGGAUGGUCACCAGCACGGUUAAACAAACAUAUCAAGUUUUACUGUUUCAAACUGUUUUGAACUGAAAUCUAUAUCACCUGAAAAAGACUUUUUGGUUUUUAUUUUAUUUUAUGUGCAAAAAACAAACUACUGUCUAUUACUACAGCUGUAAAAUGAAACUACGUCACCUAAAAUAUUCAAACUGCUUGCAGGGUUGAGCAAUUUCCUCUCCGAGAUAGACAAGAUGAGGUCUCCUCAUUGAGCAACAGAGGAAGAAAAGUGUACCUUUCAUGCAGAGGGUGUAAUAAAUGUAAAUAAAGCUAAAAGGAAACUCUUUGCGUGACAUUUAGAUGUCAAGGCCCGUGUGGAAAUUUUUCAGUUUAUUGCAAAAGAUGAGGAAAACACCAAAUCAUCACAGGCCAUGGAAGAACUCUCACUGUUUUGAUGUCUCAUCAUCAUAUAUUACCAGAUGUCUCAUAGAAAGGUGUGAAGAAAUUAUUUCUUACAUUUGUUUUCCACGAUGUGGGCGCUGGCUAUGUGCUGAGAGGGAAUGUUUCACUGAAAAACUCGACAUGCUCAGCAUAUGUGAAACCGCCUCUCGGUAAUGCUAAGGGUGAAGAUAACAUUAACGUGACGAUAACGUUUAAAAAACAGAGAAGUAAAAACAAAAAAGGGGGGGGGGGGAAGCUUUAAGUGGGACAUAAGUGAUGACAUUUUGUUUUCCCUGUGGGCACCUUACUUUGUUGUAAAUGUCAUGUAGGAUUUCACACGUCAUGGUUAUGACAAUGGUUGUUACUUUAGUAAUCUAUUGCACAUAUGAGCUAAUUUGCCAUCUGCUUAAAUGAUUAUUUCCCUCACUGUAAUCCCUUGGCAGGAUAAUUUACUGCCCGGCUAUCUGCCGAGGGAAUUGAGCUAUGGAGUGAACUCAGCAGUCAGAAGCCUGCAGCCCACUCUUUGUUGACAGUUUUUCAAUAGCUGACCAUGGCCUACUUCCCCUCUAUGGAUUAAAUUUUGCCCUUGGGCAUUUUGGAUGCAACUCUUGCAGACAUAUGGGAAUGUCACAAAAGAAACUUUUCACGGAUAACAGGCACCGUUAGUAACUGUCAUGUAUGAGGACAUAAAGGCAGUCAUUUAUACAGGAUGUUUUCAAAAUUAUAAAGUCACGCUUCUAUAAAGAAUCAGUUGUAAUUAGGAGCAGUUUAUCAUUUAAAUAUGGGUAUUAAUCUUAUACUGUAGCCUAUUAAGUUGAUUUGCAGUGGGCAUUUCCUAAGUUACUCUUUAAAUAAGUAUGAAUUGACAACUUAGCUUUUAGAUCUAUCUUAAUCGUGUAAUUGAAAAAAGAGAUAACGCUUUUAAUGUGUUCUGUAAUCUAAUAUGACAUGAUGAGAAGCAAAAGGCAACACACUUAUCUUUACAUAGACAAAGGAAAAUGUACUGUUUUAUACUAUGCUCUUAGAGUAAACAUACAACCAAGUACCAAAGUUUAUGACUGGGUUACAGUAAAGUAUUAAAGGGACAUUGACAAUGCAGGAAAUCAUUCAACUACGUAACGUCUUCAUAAUAAUGAUUUGAGUAAUUAAAUGAUUAUGCAGUCCACAAGAAUGGCUCAGCCAAGCUGACGCCCAUUUUGGGGACCCUGCAGAGAAUCGUGCUUCACUGCUGACUUAACUUUGAUCAAGCGGUAAGAAAAUGAGGUACAUUUUCAAAGGUAUUUAUCUGCCUUUCAGCAAGGCUCAGCAAAAAUCUGCAAAUUGCAUGAUGUGGCUGUGAGGAGACAGAAAAUACAAAAGAAGAUUAAUUUUUUAGUUAAAAAAAUAAAAUGAAAAAAAAAGUAAAGUAAAAAAAAAAAAAUUAGUAGUAAUUAAGAUAUGACAUUGGCUUUCAAACUCACAGUACAAAUUUGUGGUUGCAUAAUCACAACCCCUUAACGCCUAGUGUAUCGUAUUUGAUACAUACAGUUUUUUUGUGACUUUUUAAACUGAAAUGCCAGAUGUAGCAAAUACAAUACAAAUUAAACACCAUAUAUGGAAAUUAAAACGUAUAAUAAUUUAUAAACAAAUUUGUCAGAUGGCUCAAUAAACUCUCUGUUUUCAAGAAUUUAAAUUUUCUGCCGAUUGUUUCACAGCUCAGGCUUUAAAGGGUUAAUUUCAGCCAUGAAAAAGCAAUGCAACAAUUCUCUUUCAGCUUGUAGUCGGGCAUGUGGUUUCUUUGUAAGAUUGCUAUCAUUGUACAGUUUGCUUAUGAUGCCACAUGUGACCUGCAGUAAUUGGAACAGGUGUUAUUUUUAAGUUGCUUAUUUGUUUCAUGUAUGUGUGCGAAGAGAGCGAGAGGAGGGGGGAUGAGAUGAAACAAAGAUUACAUGACAGAUAUGAAAUAUAAAGUGGGUUACACUGCAGCUUGUGAAUUGUGCAUUAAAUUUCUAUAGUGCGUUUCGAACAACUGUUAAAGUAAGUGUGACAUUCAAUAGAAUAGUUCAGUAGAGACAAACAGCUCACGAUCCAAAGCACACCACUGAAGGUGACUGCGGGAAAGGUUAAUGCUGGACAUCUUAAUACAGAAAAGGCAGCAUUUGGUGAUGUCCAUGGGUUCUGGACGUCAGGUAAAUGUUGACAUCCAUCCAAGUAUUAAAAACUAGUCAUAAUUUUUUAAAUUAUGUUAGCUUGUUCAAUUACAAAAUACUUUUGAGCCUCUGAAAAUGGGGGAUUAUGUAUAAAAAUGCAUGCAAUUUUAAAACAACUAACACAAUACUUUUGUUAAAGCACUUACAUUAAAGCUAAAAGUUCGCA
ensembl:lncRNA